AUUGAACGCUGGCGGCAUGCCUUACACAUGCAAGUCGAACGGCAGCACGGGAGCAAUCCUGGUGGCGAGUGGCGAACGGGUGAGUAAUAUAUCGGAACGUGCCCAGUCGUGGGGGAUAACGUAGCGAAAGCUACGCUAAUACCGCAUACGAUCUAUGGAUGAAAGCGGGGGAUCGCAAGACCUCGCGCGAUUGGAGCGGCCGAUAUCAGAUUAGGUAGUUGGUGAGGUAAAGGCUCGCCAAGCCGACGAUCUGUAGCUGGUCUGAGAGGACGACCAGCCACACUGGGACUGAGACACGGCCCAGACUCCUACGGGAGGCAGCAGUGGGGAAUUUUUGGACAAUGGGCGCAAGCCUGAUCCAGCAAUGCCGCCGUGCAGGAUGAAGGCCUC
rnacentral:rRNA from 1 species